CCAGGAUAUGAGCAGCUCUCCUCUGUCCUGGCCCUCACAGUGCUGUUCCUGCCUUGGAGCGGGCCAACCAUGAGCCAAAGGAAACCUCUCCUCCUUUAAAAAGGUUGCAGGUGUCAAGUAUUUUGUCCCAGUGAUGAGGAAACUCAAAGUUGGCUGGGAUGCUGUGGAGGGAAUGAAAGAGUCCAGUGGAAUCCAUGCCCAGGAGGCAAGUAGGAGGAUCACCAUGGCAACCCCAAUCUGAAAACCAGUGCCAGCAACAUCCCAGCUACCAUCGGAUGCAUGGGCUACAAAACCAGGAAGAGGGAUACAUGCCACAUAUGCACCUGAUGGCAGUCUUGCAAGAACCCCAAGACCAUCUCCAUUUAUGUCCGCCCUAAGCGAGGCUGACCCCGUGGCCUCCACAGCUCCUG
rnacentral:lncRNA from 1 species